UACUAUAUAUAAUAUGUUACAUCAUCAUAACUGAAUUAGUCUAUUUCUUGGAUAAUUGGCAAUGAUUUAUUAUCUAGCUUUUACAGUCAGUUAAUACACUGCUGUUCAAUGUAUACUGAUGUAUAAAUAAACACACAGAGAUAGCUGAUAUGACCAAGAUAAGAACCAAUGAAAAUGCAGGCUUCUGAAGCCAUUUUACACCUGUAACCCAAGAAAUAAUCCCAACAUUUCUGUUCAUUUUUCUGUGAUCUUUGCAAAUUCUUUGAGUAAAUAAAUUGACAAAUUCCCACUUUAAUUAUAAAUAUAUAUAUUAGUAACAUUCUAGAUAUUCCCUUCAGUAGCUACAUUGUGCUAAGAAAAUUGCUCAUGAAUACCAAAAAUUUGAAUGUAAACAGGAAGUGCUUUGUUCAUGUUGUUGGAGGCAUUAAUGGAUUGGAGAUAAAUAAUAAUUGGGAAGCUGGAAAUUCUUAAAUGCUUUCAGAGGGACAUCAGGUAAAAGAGUGAGUUCCAGCAACAUAUUUCUUCUAAAAUAUGUGUGAUCAGAUAUAGAAUUUUAUAGUUAUUAAUGGUUUUGGAGGAAAAUGAACAGAAGUUUGGGAAAAAGAUAAAGAUUAUGUAUGUUGCGGAGAAAGAUGUCGUUCAGGCGAUCAACCAGAAAUGUGCUGAUGCCAGGUCAACGUUAGCAGCAUCGUGCAAAAAAACAAACUUAACAUUUAUGACAACGCACUGAAAAUUUGCUGUGUAUAUAGUUUUUACUUAUAGCGUUAAUUUUUUUAGUGAAAUGACAUUGUUGAUAUUUAAUUAACUUCAUUUUUUCUUUCUAAAAUGCUAUUUUAUGUAUAUAAACUGUUCUAUUUUUAGUUAGAAGAAACCCCUGAACAUUGUAAAUAUUAACUUUGUUAAUUUUUUUGUUAUUGGUGAUUUUUUUGGACUGAAAUGCUCAAUGUACAUAAAG
rnacentral:lncRNA from 1 species